UACGUAGGGGGCAAGCGUUGUCCGGAUUUAUUGGGCGUAAAGAGCGUGUAGGCGGUUAGGUAGGUCCGUUGUGAAAACUCGAGGCUCAACCUCGAGACGCCGAUGGAAACCAUCUGACUAGAGUCCGGAAGAGGAGAGUGGAAUUCCUGGUGUAGCGGUGAAAUGCGCAGAUAUCAGGAAGAACACCCGUGGGCGAAGGCGGCUCUCUGGAACGCAACUGACGCUGAGACGCGAAAGCGUGGGGAGCAAACAGG
rnacentral:rRNA from 1 species